UAGGGAAUCUUCGGCAAUGGACGAAAGUCUGACCGAGCAACGCCGCGUGAGUGAAGAAGGUUUUCGGAUCGUAAAACUCUGUUGUUAGAGAAGAACAAGGACGUUAGUAACUGAACGUCCCCUGACGGUAUCUAACCAGAAAGCCACGGCUCUCUACGUGCCAGCAGCCGCGGUAAUACGUAGGUGGCAAGCGUUGUCCGGAUUUAUUGGGCGUAAAGCGAGCGCAGGCGGUUUCUUAAGUCGGAUGUGAAAGCCCCCGGCUCAACCGGGGAGGGUCAGUGGAAACUGGGAGGCUUGAGUGCAGAAGAGGAGAGUGGAAUUCCAUGUGUAGCGGUGAAAUACGGAGAUAGAUGGAGGAACACCAGUGACGAAGGCGGCUCUCUGGUCUGUAACUGACGCUGAGGCUCGAAAGCGUGGGGAGCAAACAGG
rnacentral:rRNA from 1 species